CUCCUCACGAGGCAGCUCUUGGUCCCCUGCUAUUAUCUCAUAGAGCAAUAUUGUACUGCUACCACAAGUUAUUGCGUAAUAGCAAUCAUGGCUUCCAGUAUAUCUCCCAUGUAGUUACCACACACUUAACACAAAAUAGUACAUUUUAUUUUGUGGUAAUCCAGUAAAUGAAUCACACUGCCAGGCUCCAGGCCGUGCAGAAGACCAGGCCUGCAUAUCAGAGGUAUAAGGCAUCUGGUGCUUUUUGUGGAAAAAAGCCCAUCUGAUAAGUGCACAAUAUUCUUCCACAAGUGUUCUUUUCUUCUUCUGCAGCUUAAAACAGCCAUCUCAAUUUUAGUUUAACCUGUUAGCUACUGCAGACAUAGACAAGGCUCCCAUUUACCAAAUUUACAUUACAUAACAUACUGACACUCCAUGACUUUCAAAGCCAUGUUAUGUAAAAUUAUUAAACUUAUAGGUAAAUAUAUUAUUAAUUCAACAGCCAGCUCUCCUUGGAUGAAAUGAAAGAAAAGAUAUUUUUUGUGUUUUUGUGUGUACUGAUCCCUCUGUUUUAGUAGAUAGAGGGAUAUUUUUAUAUUCCCAUGUAUUUCCUCAUCAGUUUAUUUUCCUGGUUCCAGUGGUGAUCCUUCAGCACUUGGGAGCUAAACGAUGAGACAGCCAGCAAAUUGUCUUGAGAUUUGUGGACACUUUGGAUCGUUGAAGAAUUGCUCAUCAUAAAUGAAGCCUAGUUUAAGACAAUGAAGAGGAUACUUCUGAAAAAGGUGUUUUCCACACCUCUCAGCUCUCAGUUUCUAAAAAUGAGGCCCCUGGUUUCUUGGAAGUGAGGGAGUGCAGCACUGAGAAGCAACGGGAAGAUGUCCUACACAUGGAGCGAUAGGCAGAUGCAGCUGCUCUAGGAUCCUCUGGUCAUCUGUUUUCAUUAAAACUUCACUUGUGCAUUUGACCUACCAGCUGGAUUCAGCAUAUGUCACUGGUAAAGGGCCAUAACAUCCCAGUGAAGUGCAAGUGGAAAGAGGGAAAGAUUGAACAUUGAAAAUCACGAACAACAUUUACAUGAAACACUAGCUGCCACUAGCUUCACAUUCAUCUGUCAGGUGAUCAAAAUCUCAAUCUGAAUUUUUAGUCUGAACAUUUUUCUUCCUGUGGUCUCUUUACAACAAAAUUGCAUCCUCUUCCUUUCUGCGGCCUUCAGAUCAGUCUUUGCAACUUCUAAGUGACGGAUGAAGGAAAUCCUUAUUGCUUGAAGCAGCUCUACCUAUUUAUAUGAACCUGCCACGUGGUUUCCUAAAAUAUGAACUGACAAGGCCAUUCGUCUCUGAAAUGCUGCUGAAGAUGGUUUCAGAACUGGAGUGAUGAAGCCUGGUCGUAAUAGCUGCUGUCUCUUUCUUGUUGCCUCGUGUGCCAAGGUGUCCCAAAGCACAGCUGUGAAACAAAGUACCGUGGAAUAUUCCUUGAGAAUUCUACCCAGAUGUGAAAAGAAUAAGUGCAUUUUUUAAAAUAGAUUUUAAGUUAAGCUGUUCAGCCUGAAAAUGUCAAAUAUGAAGAAGUGAUACUUUUGCUUAAUGUAAAACUGAAUCACUUCUUUAAUACGUAUAGCAUCUGAGUGAUUUAGUUAAGCUAUAUUAAAUUACAAUUCUGUUCUUGUUUUCUUGAUUAUAUUCAGAAUUACAAACUUCAGAUCUAUUGUUGUUAAAUAGGGAUAUUUUUCACUGUUCAGGUAUGAAUAUUUAAACAGUGCUAAAUUUCGAGGUAUACAGAUGAGCUAAUUUGAAAUUUUAAAUGAAUUAAAAGUUCAAUUUC
ensembl:lncRNA